UACAUGAAGCUGGAAUCGCUAGUAAUCGCGGAUCAGAAUGCCGCGGUGAAUACGUUCCCGGGUCUUGUACACACCGCCCGUCACACCAUGGGAGUCGGGAAUGCCCGAAGUCAGCGGCCCAACCGAAAGGGGGAGCUGCCGAAGGCAGGCCUGGUGACUGGGGUGAAGUCGUAACAAGGUACC
rnacentral:rRNA from 1 species